UUCCUUUUAUUUCUUUCUUUCAUAACUUUCCAAAUUGUUUCUGCUUCGAUUCAAUGGUCUGGUUAUACUAAACACCAUUUAAAUUUUUACUUCAAAUCAAUAUCUUGAUUAUUUGGGAAUUUUUUCUUAACCACAGGUUUGAUAGAUUUUGCUCGUAAACAUUCUCCAAAGUACCAUGCUUUUAACGAUUUUGCAUGAAAAGAAUUUGGUUUGAAAUCGUAGGCUUUAUGCUUUUUAAUUCUCGCAUAUUGUAUUGCAUGUGAUUUCGAAUGGAGUUUUGUAGAAAUUAAGGUUUGUUUUCAUAUCCUUCUACCUGUUUGCUAAAAUGAUUCAAAGAGCUAGAUGCUUAAAUUUCAGUUUUUACCCAGUAAAUGACAGAAUUCGUUCUUAGAUUUGAAUAUUGGUUGCGGCUUGAAUUAGUGAACAGACUCAUCUUGUUUUCGUUUUAAACAUUACCACUUGAUUUAGUUUUUUUAUUAAAUGGGUAUUCAGAACUCCCAUCAGGAGUAAAGUUUAUGAUUUGUGUUUUAAAAUUUGAAUAAGCUCUUGCAUUAUUAAUUUAACUUCUGCCAUAAUCAAAAUUGGGAAUUUUCUAUGAAUUUUGCAUUUUCUCCUCACCCUGUGACUUUAAUAUUUCAAUUAAAAAAUUUGUUUACGCCACUAGUUUGGUUCAUUUCAAUCCCUUUUUGCAACUAACUUGUAAAACAUGCUGACAGUAUAAGUUGGCCCCUUUGAUUUGUGUUUUCAUGGUUAAUAAAUUCCCUAUUUGCUAUUGAAGGUGUAUGCAUUUGGCAGGACUUCGCGAGAUGUUUUUCUUAUGUGUAUUUCAGUAGCCUAUAAGCCUUACUCCCUUGUGAAAUGUUGUAAUGUAUAUUGUGAGGUUUUCCUUCUUGUGAACAAGCCUAAAUAGGAAACUAGCCGACUCUACUAUAGGAAUGUCAGGCCUUAAUUGGCCCCCCACCUACGGGUGGCAACCCGGAAGACCGUUAGCUGUAACGGUAGCUGGUAUCUGACUACCCUGACAUCGGCGCUGGCCAAAAGAAUAGUAGAGUAACCUAACGUGAUUUACAGCUCUUCAUCUUUUUAUGAAUUUAAAUUGUACUUGGAAGAGAGGUUACGGAAGUAAGCUUAGGAAGAGCUUAUGGCUAGUAGUUGUGAGCAAAAGUUGGUAUUUUGCUCGUAUCUUUAAUAUGUAUAUCACGGGGCUACUGGUGUUGUUGGGUUCGUUUACAUUUUUCACUUUUUUUUAUCCUCUGUAAAUAUGGAUGUCAAUUGAUCUUGUUUUAGUACUGUUUGUUCAUUUCUUUUUUUGAACUAUUACUUAAGGGUGCCAUAUGCAAUAUACUCAUAUACUGUCUGUUCAUAUACUCCUUUGCUCUUUGAGCUAAAACCCCCCACUCAGAUAAGAGAAUACGGUAGUGGCGUUUGAAUUUUGGAAAGCAUUUUGAAUAUUCUUUCUUUUGUUUUGAAUUAACUGGGGAUAUUAGUUGCCAUGUUGGCUAGGUUUGAUACUUGUUAUGUUUCAAUUAUGUGCAGUCCUUUUUACUUGUCAAAUUAUAGAUCUUGUUUGUUGCGAGAAAUGCUAGUAGAGUUUAUAACGUUUUCUCUUUGGUUUUGUUCGAGGCAACGGACUAAAGGUUUUCAUUUUAAAUCUCAAACAAAUUUCAGUACCGAAUUUUUGUAAAUUUUACUAGUAUGUGACACUCUCUUUAUGUAUCUUUUGUAUUUAUGUAUCAUUUUAUAUUUCGAGUGACGCGACCGGGUUUUUAACCUUACUGGACGGGUUGAAACCCAGCCCGUUAGAAGGGUAAAUUCUCCGAUCCGUUACAGUUGGCAUCAGAGCGACGUUCCGAUUAACUUGGACUGUGAGUUUUGGACUUACUAUUUUUCCGGUGUUGUGUGUUUAUUUUAUACAUAAAAUAAAAUGAUUUUGGUUUCUAAACUCUGAAUAUUUCCUUUUGGUUUUGUUUCUUGAAUGUUUUACAACAUUUAUAGUUAAAAAAUUAGCUUUAUCGAUUUCCAUUGUUUCGGGGACUGGGAAAACCCUGUGAUAUACAUACCAUUAGGCGUGUUAGUAAUGUACACUACUAACCAAUUAUAAAUCUGACGCUCGUUCUGUUUUGAAGAUAUCUGCGGUGCUCGAAAUAUGUAGCUUUAAGCUCCGUACGUAAUAAGAAGGAUCAAGUCAAGAGUUUAGAAGGAUCAAGUCAAGAGUUUAGAACGGUUUGAGAAAUGUAGAACAGCUGGUAGGUUAUGGGUUGAGUAUUGUCGCCGUUAAGGAUCUCAUCCAGUACUGGUAUAGACUUGAGGGGAUUUAAUAAAUAUGUGGGAAAUGGCGAAACAUUUAGUGGGACAGAUGAUUCUCUCGAAGCAGAGAGUGGUUGAUAGGUAUUGAGGAUGAGUUGAUUUUGUGAAAGUAUCGGAAAGAAGAAGGUCAGGCUUGCAGUGAGAGAGAUUUUCGUGGUACGUGAAAUUCCUUCGUCAACCAUUUAGAGCGACCUGUUCUUCACGUCCAAGUAUUAGGGGAGUUUCCGGAAAGCUAUGGGCAUCGAGCUAGAUUUGAUUAUCGCUCUCAGUAAACGGUCAGAGUGAACUUCUCAAAAUUUGGAAGACAUGUUGCAGACACAUGUACGACUUCAAAGACAAUUGGAGGGUCCUCUCAAGAUGUUUCAUAUAUCCAAGCUUUGAAGACGCGACAUUGACCCUUAUCACGUGAUUAGAUGACAAGAUUUGUAGCCGCGCAAAAUUGUUACUUAUGAUCAAAAGUCGGUACUCGUUAUCGUUAUCAGCUGGAUCAAGUCCUUCGGGUUAAAACCAUUUAGAUGACGAAAAAAGCGUGACAUCAUCACUCUCUAGAAGAAGCUUAAAGGAAGCUGGAGUUCGACAGGAGGGACAAGUAACCGGGCUACUGGAAGAUUUUGGAAGACUUGGAAGAGAGGUUACGGAAGUAAGCUUAGGAAGAGCUUAUGGCUAGUAGUUGUGAGCAAAAGUUGGUAUUUUGCUCGUAUCUUUAAUAUGUAUAUCACGGGGCUACUGGUGUUGUUGGGUUCGUUUACAUUUUUCACUUUUUUUUAUCCUCUGUAAAUAUGGAUGUCAAUUGAUCUUGUUUUAGUACUGUUUGUUCAUUUCUUUUUUUGAACUAUUACUUAAGGGUGCCAUAUGCAAUAUACUCAUAUACUGUCUGUUCAUAUACUCCUUUGCUCUUUGAGCUAAAACCCCCCACUCAGAUAAGAGAAUACGGUAGUGGCGUUUGAAUUU